rnacentral:rRNA from 1 species
GAUCCUGGCUUAGGAUGAACGCUAGCGGCAGGCUUAACACAUGCAAGUCGAGGGGCAGCGCGAGUAGCAAUACUUGGCGGCGACCGGCGCAAGGGUGCGUAACGCGUGAGCAACAUGCCCGUAUCAGGGGGAUAAUCCAGGGAAACUUGGUCUAAUACCCCAUAGUAAUUUUGUAAGGCAUCUUAUAAGAUUUAAAGCUUUGGUGGAUACGGAUUGGCUCGCGUGACAUUAGCUGGAUGGUAAGGUAACGGCUUACCAUGGCUAUGAUGUCUAGGGGUUCUGAGAGGAAGGUCCCCCACACUGGAACUGAGACACGGUCCAGACUCCUACGGGAGGCAGCAGUGAGGAAUAUUGGACAAUGGAUGGAAAUCUGAUCCAGCCAUGCCGCGUGAAAAGGAAGAAGGUCCUAUGGAUUGUAAACUUCUUUUGUAUGGGAGCAAUAAGGCCUACGAGUAGGUUGAUGAGAGUACCAUACGAAUAAGCACCGGCUAACUCCGUGCCAGCCGCCGC